UACGUAGGGAGCGAGCGUUAUCCGGAAUCACUGGGCGUAAAGGGCUCGUAGGCGGUUCGGUAAGUUGCAUGUUAAAUCUCCGGGCUCAACCCGGAAACCGCGUGCAAUACUGCUGAGCUAGAGAGCGGGAGAGGGAAAUGGAAUUCCCGGUGUAGCGGUGAAAUGCAUAGAUAUCGGGAAGAACACCAGUGGCGAAGGCGAUUUCCUAGACCGUUUCUGACGCUGAGGAGCGAAAGCCAGGGGAG
rnacentral:rRNA from 1 species